rnacentral:rRNA from 1 species
CACGCAAGUCGAGGGGAAACGACAUCGAAAGCUUGCUUUUGAUGGGCGUCGACCGGCGCACGGGUGAGUAACGCGUAUCCAACCUGCCCACCACUUGGGGAUAACCUUGCGAAAGUAAGACUAAUACCCAAUGACGUCUCUAGAAGACAUCUGAAAGAGAUUAAAGAUUUAUCGGUGAUGGAUGGGGAUGCGUCUGAUUAGCUUGUUGGCGGGGUAACGGCCCACCAAGGCGACGAUCAGUAGGGGUUCUGAGAGGAAGGUCCCCCACAUUGGAACUGAGACACGGUCCAAACUCCUACGGGAGGCAGCAGUGAGGAAUAUUGGUCAAUGGACGAGAGUCUGAACCAGCCAAGUAGCGUGCAGGAAGACGGCCCUAUGGGUUGUAAACUGCUUUUAUAAGGGAAUAAAGUGAGAGUCGUGACUCUUUUUGCAUGUACCUUAUGAAUAAGGACCGGCUAAUUCCGUGCCAGCAGCCGCGGUAAUACGGAAGGUCCGGGCGUUAUCCGGAUUUAUUGGGUUUAAAGGGAGCGUAGGCCGGAGAUUAAGCGUGUUGUGAAGUGUAGAUGCUCAACAUCUGAACUGCAGCGCGAACUGGUUUCCUUGAGUACGCACAAAGUGGGCGGAAUUCGUGGUGUAGCGGUGAAAUGCUUAGAUAUCACGAAGAACUCCGAUUGCGAAGGCAGCUCACUGGAGCGCAACUGACGCUGAAGCUCGAAAGUGCGGGUAUCGAACAGGAUUAGAUACCCUGG